AGCCCAAACCAAUGAGCUUGCUUGUUGGGGUUGUAGGACACUCUAUACGGAGUUACAAAAGAAUAAACUAGACGAAUCAUCUGGAAAGAUGAAUCAAAGAAGGUAAUAAUCCUGUAGUCGAAAGUUUGUUCACUCUUGAGUGGAUCCUGAGUACGACGGAACACGAGAAAUUCCGUCGGAAUCCGGGAGGACCAUCUCCCAAGGCUAAAUACUCUCUAGUGACCGAUAGUGAACCAGUACCGUGAGGGAAAGGUGAAAAGUACCCCGGAAGGGGAGUGAAAUAGAACUUGAAACCGUGUGCUUACAAGUAGUCAGAGCCCGUUAAUGGGUGAUGGCGUGCCUUUUGUAGAAUGAACCGGCGAGUUACGAUUUGAUGCAAGGUUAAGCAGUGAAUGUGGAGCCGUAGCGAAAGCGAGUCUGAAUAGGGCGUUGAGUAUUUGGUCGUAGACCCGAAACCAGGUGAUCUACCCAUGACCAGGUUGAAGUUCAGGUAACACUGAAUGGAGGACCGAACCGACUUACGUUGAAAAGUGAGCGGAUGAGUUGUGGGUAGCGGAGAAAUUCCAAUCGAACCUGGAGAUAGCUGGUUCUC
rnacentral:rRNA from 2 species